rnacentral:rRNA from 1 species
CCUACGGGUGGCUGCAGUGGGGAAUAUUGCACAAUGGGGGAAACCCUGAUGCAGCGACGCCGCGUGAGCGAGGAAGUAUUUCGGUAUGUAAAGCUCUAUCAGCAGGGACGAAAAAAGACGGUAUCUGACUAAGAAGCCCCGGCUAACUACGUGCCAGCAGCCGCGGUAAUACGUAGGGGGCAAGCGGUAUCCGGACUUACUGGGCGGAAAGGGAGCGUAGACGGGAAGGAAAGCCAGAAGUGAAAGGGCAGGGCUCAACCCUGUACAUGCGUUGGGGACUGGCAUGCUAGAGUGCAGGAGAGGUAAGUAGAAUUCCUGGUGUAGCGGUGAAAUGCGUAGAUAUUAGGAGGAACACCAGUGGCGAAGGCGGCUCACUGGACUAAAACUGACGUUGAGGCUCGAAAGCGUGGGGAGCAAACAGGAUUAGAUACCCGGGUAGUC